CAACGAGUUAAUAAUUUACAUACAACAACAUGUAAACAAUAAUCUCCCAAAUAAAAACAAAGAAUAACAUGACCACGUUACCAACGUACAAAAAAAAAUCCAUAUAGCAACUGUUUUCAGUGCCUUAUUCGAUAAUAAUUUAUUUAAUAUUCCAGAAAAAACAACUGCAUAUUCAACACAACUUUCUUUUUAGUAGAUGAACCUCCACAUGUUCCUGGUGCAUAACCAACAAUUAAUGGUGUCAGGAAAAUACAAAGAAUUACUACUAUUUUAUUAAACAGAGAUCCCAAUAAUGUGUCGAAAACAAAAGAAUAACAAAUUGUUGAGUUACAGGGUAAAGUCGAGUUGCCUCUACAUGUUCGACGGAAUGCGCCAAUGGGACGUCGAAUUGAAUGUGUGCUCGAUGAGUAUCACAAUCAAUUGCUGCUACCUUCUAUGCCGUGUGAAGAUCGGGUUUGCGCUUCUGGGCAGCUUGAUCAAGUUCGGCUGCGAGCGGAAUAUAAAAAUUUACAGAACUCUUUUGAGAGAGGUUGCUUUAGUUGGUGAGAAUGGUGAGGCAGAGGUGUUGUUCAGAAAGAUUUUGCCUUUAAAGCCACAAAGAAGAUUAUAUGUAAACGAGGAAAGAGGGAUACAAAAACCUUGAGCAUCAGUAGUUGAAAUAUAAAUCUAUAUCUAUAUCUAUACUAAUAGAAAAAGAGCAUACGUAUUCUAUGGGAUAACUUGUGCCUAUUUUACCUCUAUUACAUAUUUUAUAUGAACUUAUUUGUGCUUCUCUUUUUUGCCUCUUUAUCAUGGUAUAGAAAUACUCUAAUUUGGCUGUGAUUUUUAUGUUUGAUUGAGCCGUGUCUUGCAGGAGCUAUUCAUCGGCUUCUUCAAAACAAUUUGCUUUCAGUAGAAGCCCUCGACAAAGCUAAUGAAUGCACCGUCAAGAAAUUUAUUCACCCUGUACGCCCCUUUCCUUAGCCAUUGCAUAUUAUGUCCAUAAUGAUCGUUUAGAGUUGCAAAGCAAUCCCCUAUAAUUAAUACAAAUGUUGUGCCGCUUUCAAAAAAAAANUACAUAUGCUUUGCCAACCAUGUGUUAGAUAUAAUCCUUGAAAAAAGAAAUUCUCAUCUUCAAAUUGUUCCUUUGAUUUUUAUUUCUUUCAGUAGUAGUCAUAGAGUUUCUGAUUGUAGAAUGUCUAAUUAUAGUUGAAGAAAUUAGUUUAAUUAAGGGUAUUUCAGAUAGCUCUUAAUCUUGAAAUUUGGGAUUGGGUUUUGUUUCUUGAACAUAUUAUGAUAUUGGCUUUUCUAUGAUGAUUCACCAAUAUCUGGUUUUAUGAAGGGCGACCUACAUUGGUUUCACUUAUAAAUUAAUUUAUGCUUGCCCGAUCAUCCUAAUCAAAUAUGAGUUCUUCGAGUGAACUCUGACUCCAACAAUAGAGAAAAUGCUGAGAAUUUCAGAACAACAACUGAGUUUUUCAUUCAAUGAGAAAGCAAACUAGAGCAGAGACAUAUUAAAUGGCACACAGGCCUUCGGUUAAGCUAAAAACAAACGACAGCUAGACCUGCCAUAACAACAACUUUCAGAGGGAGGAGGGGACCAGUAGGUAUUUUCAUCCUAAAAUGUAAUCCUUGAGCUUGAUGGGGAGUUUGGUUACUUGAGUGGGCUUGGUGCAACGUGGGCCUUCGUCUUCCUUGGUGGGGCUUGGGCUGGUAGUGUUGUCAGGUGUAUCAUUCCCCACCACUUCUGGAACCACCUUGUCCUCAAGGUUAAACUGGGGAAAAUCUCACUUGCAAAUCUUCAAAAUCCUCCCACGUCGAGCUCUCAGGUGGUUCGCCAGACCACUGAACCACACUUGGUGUCGCACCUUGCCAUGAGAGAGUAUGUGGCGCGAUGAGCAGACUGCGAUUGGGGUAAUUACUGGUUGAGCUUGCACCGAAUCUGGAGGCAACUGGCAAAUCAACUCAAUACCAUCUCCCUUAAAAGGUUUCAAGGUAGAGAUGUGGAAGACGGGGUGAAUGCGGCUAGUAGGCGGCAACUCCAAACGGUAAGCUACAGCCCCAAUCUUCUCUAUGAUCGUGAAUGGACCAUAGUAUCGAAGCGCCAACUUAGGAGAACUUCGACCAGAUACUGAAGUUUGGCGAUAAGGUUGUAAUUUGACCAACACCUUAUCCCCAACUUGGAAUUCAACUUGGCGAUAAAGCAAUCCCCUAUAAUUAAUACAAAUGUUGUGCCGCUUUCAAAAAAAAAAAACAUAUGUAAGCUUAAUGUAUGAUAAAAGCAUGCCUAUUGAUUCAACGAAAGAAAACAAGAAUAACUAUUUAUUUAUAACCUAUAAAUUAUUUUAUAAACAAGAGUGUAUGGUUGACGGCAGUGGGGUUGGUUGCAUUAAGGCUGACAGUAUUGGAGGCGCAAAGUUUGUUAAAUUAUAGUAAUCCACACCAGAUUUUAUUCUCUAAUUGUGAUUAUGGGUAGCACAGCAACCUCCAUUUUUUUUUCUAAAAAAAAGUGAAAUAAAUUAAUUAAAAAUAUAAAAGGUCUCUUAUUUUAGCUAUGAUCCAAACAAAACAUUACAUUAGGUCAAGACUAUCACUAAUAUGUUUUGAAUAUUAAAAUCAAUAAAAACAAAGAAAAAACUCAUAUGCAACACAAGCAAAUUAAUGAGACACAUCCCACUAAACAAAAAAUUAGUUGAAUAGUCAAACAUAAGCCACAGAAUUCACACAUGCAUAAACCAUUUUUUAUAUUUCAUCUGUUUAUGCUAAAUAUUCUAAAUAAAUAAUGCAACGAGUUAAUAAUUUACAUACAACAACAUGUAAACAAUAAUCUCCCAAAUAAAAACAAAGAAUAACAUGACCACGAUACCAACAUACAAAAAAANAUCCACAUAGCAACUGUUUUCAGUGCCUUAUUCGAUAAUAAUUUAUUUAAUAUUCCAGAAAAGUUGAGUUACACGGUAAAAUUGGGGGGAUAUACCGAGUUGCCCUCUACAUGUUCGACGGAAUGCGCCAAUGGGACGUCGAAUUGAAUGUGUGCUCGUUGAGUAUCACAAUAAAUUGCUGCUACCUUCUAUGCCGUGUGAAGAUCGGGUUUGCGCUUCUGGGCAGCUUGAUCAAGUUCGGCUGCCAGCGGAAUAUGAAAAUUUUCAGAACUCUUUUGAAAGGGGUUGUUUUAGCUGGUGAGAAUGGUGAGGCAGAGGCGUUUUUCAGAAAGAUUUUGUAUUUAAAGCCGUGACAAAGAAUAUUAUAUGUAAACUCAAGAACAUAAAAUAAGGAGGAAAGAGGGAUAGAAAAACCUUGAGUAUCAGUUGUUGAAAUAGAAAUCUAUACCUAUUAUAAAAGAGCUACUUGAAUCUCAUUGGGAAAAUCGAUGUAUGAUUUUCUGCAACUCUGCAUGUGCUUGUUUCAUGUUGA
rnacentral:lncRNA from 1 species